rnacentral:rRNA from 1 species
AUUGAACGCUGGCGGCAGGCCUAACACAUGCAAGUCGAGCGGAUGAAGGGAGCUUGCUUCUGGAUUCAGCGGCGGACGGGUGAGUAAUGCCUAGGAAUCUGCCUGGUAGUGGGGGAUAACGUCCGGAAACGGGCGCUAAUACCGCAUACGUCCUGAGGGAGAAAGUGGGGGGUCUUCGGACCUCACGCUAUCAGAUGAGCCUAGUCCGGAUUAGCUAGUUGGUGGGGUAAAGGCCUACCAAGGCGACGAUCCGUAACUGGUCUGAGAGGAUGAUCAGUCACACUGGAACUGAGACACGGUCCAGACUCCUACGGGAGGCAGCAGUGGGGAAUAUUGGACAAUGGGCGAAAGCCUGAUCCAGCCAUGCCGCGUGUGUGAAGAAGGUCUUCGGAUUGUAAAGCACUUUAAGUUGGGAGGAAGGGCAGUAAGUUAAUACCUUGCUGUUUUGACGUUACCAACAGAAUAAGCACCGGCUAACUUCGUG